CAAACUGCAGGCUUUAUCUUCUCUGUUGUCCUCCUUCUACCUUACCUGGAUUUUCCUUUUCUCGCAGGCAGGCCCGGUGCCUUGAACCACGCUGUCGAGGACAGUGACCAGCCCAGCGUCUGGAGCCACAAAGCACGAGUUCCUGGCCACCCUGAUGGCCUCCUCAAUCUCUGCGAAGCGGAAAAUACAGAGCGCCGAGGGCUGGGACGCCGGUCGGCCGCCAAAACCUAUCCCGCCGACGGCGGAGGCUUUCUCAAACACGCCGAACAGCAGCUCCUCAGGCUGAGGCGGGGAAGGGCUUCCCGAGCCAACCUGCAGGGCGGCGCUGGCGGGAAACACCGACACCAGCCGGUUGAAGAGGUCGCCGCCAGACGUCGUUGCCCCACCGUGCCCGGCGCCGCUGUUGCACUGCAGCCCCAUUUGGAUGUAGGACUCGGUCAGCUUCUUGGUCUCCACGCCGCCGCCACCGCCGCCACCACUGCUGCCGUUUAGGGUCGUCGCCUCAGCCGCGUCCCCCAAGCAGAUGCGGGCCAGCAGGCUGUGCGAAUGGCUCUCUUUUUCCCGCGCAUUCGCCUCGCUGUUGAGGGCCAAGUAGGCAUAGGAUCCCAGAGGGCGGCUCAGAGGAGCGCCUGCCGGAGGCGAAAGGGGAAGGGAGCCCGGCGGGCGGCUGUUCCUGACAGGGGCGCCCCCAGGUAGAAGGGACCCUCCUGCCCCAGCCUGGGGUCUCCGGCCGCUAGGGGCGCCCUUUUCCUCCUCAGGGCGAGAAGGCGGCGGCGGCCGGGCUCCACUGUGGAGGAAGGCGCGGACGAAGCUCAGCUUGUGGCGGUCCUUGGCGCCCUGCUUGAUCUUGAAGAUGUUGUCGUCGGAGGGGUUGAUGUCGAAGGUGAAGAGCCGGGCUAAGUCCCCGCGGGCGUUGAGAGCCCGGAUAGCGAUUUCGGGCGUGUUCUCGAAGCGGUGGUCCUCCAGGCUGGCGUUGCGCGGGAAAAAAGGGCUGCCCAAGCCCGUGUAAGUGGCGGCCACCAGUAGCCUCGUGUCUUGCCCAGCCUGCUUAAGCACCAAGCCCACGGUGGAGGCAUUGGCGUGGUUGGCCGCCACGUUGAGCAUGCUGGGGAAGACCGUGACCUGGUCUCCUCCUGCUGCUGCGUCUCCUCCAUCUGCCCCAGGUGGGAAGGCGACGGCCACCACGGAGAUAUUAUCCAUGCUGCGCAGCUGACAGAAGCCUUGGUAGACCGAGCCGCAGACCACCAGAAUGCCUUGCUCCGGGUCCGGCUGUAGCAGCUUGUUGUAGUUGUCGGUCGGCUUCUUGGCGUGCUCACAGGACGCCUGGGGCAGCUGAGGAGCGUGGCACAGCGGGUUGUCCUCCUCCGGGCCCACCUGCUCUUCUACCUCCAGGGUCAGGUUGGGGCCGGAGAGUUGGUAGAGCCGGUUGACGGCCGCCAGGUAGAUCCUGCCUCCCGACCCAUCCAGAGCGAAGUUGUUGGUGGCGGUGGGCGAGACGAACUUGCGCUGCACUUCCAGCCCUGGCACCGGGAGCAACGGGAGAAGGAGCAGGAGAGAGAAGGCAGGGGGGCGAUCCGGGGACAGCACCUGGUUAGCGCCUAGCCGACCGCGCGGAAAAAACAUCCUGCCUCCUGGGCUGCUGUUCUACACAGAGCAUGAGGCUCCUUGGCAAAGGGGGCUUUGCAAUCACCAGGAAAGGAAAGAGAGAGAGGAAAAGAGCAAAGCACGAGAGAGGAAGACCUGUUUCCUGUAGAGGAUCUAACACGCCACAGCCCCGGAGUGACGCCAGGAGGUUCAGGAGCCUACGAGAAAUGCACUGAUUGUAGCAAGCUGCAGGAAAUGGCAGUGGAUUGUUGUCAUUCAGCUCUUCAGCUCUCUACAUUCAGGAAUUAUAGCAAUGGCUACCCCAAAAUCCACAGCUCUUCAUUCUGGGUAGUGGGACAAACUGGGCACAGAGGACAGUGGUGACAGUUGCAAAGAGAACUUUUGAGAACUGGAGGAGAACCACGCCAGAGGCACAGGGCCAAACUAGGCAUGACAGCUGCAGUGCAGUCUGAUUCCAUUUCUGCCCCAUUCACAUGAAAAGUGUGCGCGCAAUUUUUAACAUUAUUAAAGGAACACACGGCUGAGGGACAAAGUCAUUUCUGGUUUGCCAGGGAAAAAAGUUUGGGCGGUUGACCACAGGGAGAAGCAGGGGAGAGGAAAGCAGCUUUUUUCAUUCAUGUGGUCACACCCUGAGAUAUGAUUAAACAAAUGUGGCUCAGCUGGUUUUAUGAGUAGUCUGUUUCACAGAAGCUGGAUUUCCACUCUAAAGCAUAAAAUAUAAGAUAAGCUUUGCUGGAUCAGACCAAAGGCCUAACUAGUCCAGCAUCCUGUUUUCCACAGUAAUCAACCAGAUGCCAGUGAGAGGCCCACAAAUGGGACAUGUGGGUAAGUGUCACCAAGGGAGGGAAGAUUUGCCUCCAUCAUGGGAUGAGUGUAAUCCAGUUGCUCAGCUGCAUUUCCUUGCCUCACAAAUCCUCAGUGGGAGCUAUUGUCCAGCAACUACCAGCAACACAAGACUUGCUUUCAUUAUGGGCUUAGCUAGUUCCAGCCACCUGUCUCCACUUCUUGGUCUUGCAGAACCACAGUGGGCUCUCUUGCUUUGUACUCAGAGGUCAAAAGACAACAAUCAGGGAAGACCAAGGACAAGGGCAGGAAAUGCCACAUGCUGGCAGCAUAGGGACACCUUGUUAUUUCUGUUCCUGAUACUAGAUUUGAAUGUGAUUUUUACUGUAUUAAUCUUUUGUAAACUGCUUUAAGAGCCUCUUAGAGCUAUGAAGUGGGAUACAAAUAUUCUAAAUAAUAGCCCUGUUCUGCUGUUGUUCUCCAAGGAUGCUAUCUGUGGUCCUGGAGAUAUAGUCAUUAUGAUUAGUAGCCACUGAAAGAAGAUACUGUGUACCCUCUACUUGAAAUUGGUAACUAGAUAAGAUCUGUACCCUGUUCCUUAACCUAUAUAUAAUAGUGUAUAUAUAUAUAUAUAUAUAUGCAUAGUAUAUAUGAUCUGUGAGAGUCAUUAGCCAGCAUACUGUUUUAUGUUUAUUUUCUUAAACGUCACAUUUUAUGUUUCUUUCUAUUUUCCUUAAAUACAUGUAAAGAUAUGCCUUGGGAAUUCGGUGUAUCUGACCUAAGCUCCCUUGAGUCUUUCCUUGUUUAAUUCUACUGCUUUAGGAGUUGACUGAUGAGAAAGAACUUGUAUAAACUUUUCUAGUUUCAGGUACCCCUGUUUGUUUUUCCAGGUAUCCUUUACUUACUCAAGAGAAAUAUAUGGUAAUGUGGGAGCAACAAAGCCCUGCAUUUAUGAAUUAGUAUGAUUUUUAAGAAAACCUAUUUCUGUAACUAUGCAUUAAAAGCCAUUCUAGAAUUGGGUCUGAAUUGGAAAAAACCAACAUGCUGCUUUAACUAGACCAGGCACUGGCCUGGGGCCUAUUAUUCCAGAAUCAUAUGUUGUAGAUUGUUCAGACAGAGAAACUGAGAAGUCGUGGAGUAAAAAAAAUUCUAGUUUGUCCCACAUCAGUUACCAUCAGUUAUUACACACAAGCACUUUAUACUAAAAUUGAUUAAUAUUUUUAUCAAAUAUUAUUUUGUAUAGAAUCCAUUUUCAACCAUGUAGCUCACUGGGUUCCCUGUGAAAGUCACUCUCAGUCCAACAUAACUUGCAGCAUCGUUAAAAAAAUAAACAAGGAAAGGAUAUAUCAUUAUAUGUACCCACAAUGAGCUCUCAAAGUACAGAUUAAUAUGUGCCAACUUCUUUGUAAUGUGUCUUUUGUGUCUCCAUGAUAACUUCAGGAUGAAUAUUUUACAUGCUAUUGCUAAGGCCAAAGUCUAUUACCACAUUUUGGCAUUGAUAAAGUGCAUUAACAUGCUGGAAACUUUGCAAGUUUUAAUAUUCCCUGGAAUGUUGGUGUUCAGAUAAUCUUAGAACAAUUGUGAUGUGUGAAUGCCUUCAACUCUACAAGAAUAUUAGACCUAAGUGUCAAGCCAUCCUUAGGAAAGUCAGCCUCCCAUUUUGAGAGCCAUGCCUCUGUUGGAGCAACCAAUGAAGAGAUGUGAAGGAUUUCCUGUAAUUUUAAAUAUAAGAGUGGAAGCGGACAAGAAGAAGCCCAAAGGGAUGCAUUUAUUGAUGAGUUGUUCCAUUGGUAUUUGAACGUUCCCCAUAUAAAAUACUUUCUAAACAUCAGAGCCAGUCUCAGGGGUUGGCAUCACUGGGCCCCUGCCAAGGUCCACACUACAGCCCUGACCAGAGCUUGGAAAAGUUACUUUUUUUGAACUACAACUCC